UACGAAGGGGGCUGGCGUUGCUCGGAAUCACUGGGCGUAAAGCGCACGUAGGCGGCUUUCUAAGUCAGGGGUGAAAUCCUGGAGCUCAACUCCAGAACUGCCUUUGAUACUGGAGAGCUUGAGUCCGGAAGAGGUGAGUGGAACUCCGAGUGUAGAGGUGAAAUUCGUAGAUAUUCGGAAGAACACCAGUGGCGAAGGCGGCUCACUGGUCCGGUACUGACGCUGAGGUGCGAAAGCGUGGGGAGCGAACAGG
rnacentral:rRNA from 1 species